CUUGAUGGUAGUGUAUUGGACUACCAUGGCAGUCACGGGUAACGGAGAAUUAGGGUUCGAUUCCGGAGAGGGAGCCUGAGAAACGGCUACCACAUCUACGGAGGGCAGCAGGCGCGAAAAUUGCCCAAUCCCGAUACGGGGAGGCAGUGACAAGAAAUAACAACUCUCGACUAUGUUGAGAAGUGUAAUGAGGAUAAUUUACAAACCUUACCGAAAGCAAUUGGAGGGCAAGUCUGGUGCCAGCAGCCGCGGUAAUUCCAGCUCCAAUAGCGUAUAUUAUAGUUGUUGCAGUUAAAAAGCUCGUAGUUGAAGUUCUGAUUGUUCGGAUCUCCAGCCUUUAGGCGGGGAAACCGACAGUCAUCCGCUUGCAAAUAUAUGUUCGAUCUUUACCGGUUGACUAUGUGAGUAAGCAAUUUACCUUGAGAAAAACAGAGUGUUCCAGGCAGGUUUGUCCGGAAUGCAUUAGCAUGGAAUAAUAGAACAUGACUGAAGUCUAUUUAUUGGUUUAAGACUACAGUAAUGAUUAAUAGGAACAGUCGGGGGCAUUAGUACUCAGCAGUCAGAGGUGAAAUUCUAAGAUUUGCUGAAGACUAACUAAUGCGAAAGCAUUUGCCAAGGAUGUUUUCAUUAAUCAAGAACGAAAGUUAGGGGAUCAAAGACGAUCAGAUACCGU
rnacentral:rRNA from 1 species